GUUUCAGGCGGUGGCUCUAAUUCGAUUUGGGGCGGCCGAUUUAGGGAUAGAGCUGAUCUUCGCCGGAGUUCGCGGAGAGGGAGCUCAAGUUUUCAGGCGGCGGUCGGCGACUACUCUUGUCUGUGGAGGGAGCGGCGCCGCCACUGUUUGUGUGUGGGUGUUUUGAAUUCAGGGGAAACGAAGGGAGAGCUGAGAGACGAGAGAUGAGGGAGGAGAGAUAGAACGAAGGGAGGAGACGCCGCUCCGGCGACGGCACCGCCGUCGAGCCGGCGGCGGCAGGAGCGCCGAGAGAGAGGGGGCGGGCGGCGUCUCUGUGAGUGUGUGUGUGGUGUGUGUUCGUGUUUGUGUGUGUGUGGUGUGUGUGAGUCAGUGUGUGUUUGUGUGUAUGUGGUGUGUGUGUGUCAGUGUGUGUUUGUGUAUGUGGAUUUGCCACAUAGAUUUAAAACAAAUAUUAAUAUGCCAUCUAGAUUUAAAAUAAAAAAUAAUAUGCCACAUAGAUCUUUAUUUUUCAUAAAUUCAAAUUAUGUUAAAAUUAAGAUUGAAUUUAAAAUUGAUGUAUUUUUUGGCCAAAUUUUAAAGUCAUGUUAUAAAUCAGAAAAUUAGCAAACUAUGUGUAUUUUAUGACAAUAACCCCU
rnacentral:lncRNA from 1 species